rnacentral:rRNA from 1 species
UACGGAGGGUGCGAGCGUUGUCCGGAAUCACUGGGCGUAAAGGGCGCGUAGGUGGCGCGGGCAGUCAACGGUGAAAGUUCGGGGCUCAACCCUGAAUCGGCCGUCGAUACUCCCGUGCUUGAGCACUGUAGAGGCAGAUGGAAUUCUGGGUGUAGCGGUGGAAUGCGUAGAGAUCCGGAAGAACACCGGUGGCGAAGGCGGUCUGCUGGGCAGUAGCUGACACUGAGGCGCGACAGCGUGGGGAGCAAACAGG